CUGACACAGGGAGGUAGUGACAAUAAAUAACAAUGCCGGGGCCUUGCGCUCUGGCAAUUGGAAUGAGAACAAUUUAAAUCCCUUAUCGAGGAUCAAUUGGAGGGCAAGUCUGGUGCCAGCAGCCGCGGUAAUUCCAGCUCCAAUAGCGUAUAUUUUUGUUGUUGCAGUUAAAAAGCUCGUAGUUGAAUUUCUGGUGGGAGAAUGUGGUGCAACGUAGUUGCUACUGGCAGCCUCCGGCCAUCCUUGGGUUUAGCCAUUCUGGCAUUAAGUUGUCGGGGUGGGAUGCCCAUCGUUUACUGUGAAAAAAUUGAGUGUUCAAAGCAGACUUAUGUCGUUGAAUAUAUUAGCAUGGAAUAAUAAGAUAGGACUACAGUGCUAUUUUGUUGGUUUGCGCACCGUGGUAAUGAUGAAUAGGGACAGUUGUGGGUAUUCGUAUUCACUUGUAAGAGGUGAAAUUCUUAGAUUAAGGGAAGACGAACUACUGCGAAAGCAUUUACCAA
rnacentral:rRNA from 1 species